UUCAUGAGUCAUUAUGGCGAGGUGAGUGGCUGCUCGCAUUCGGGGAAGGUGAAGGGUCACCUCGAUUGGUGGGGCUUUCUUUAUAAACCUCCUCGAUUUUGCUGGUUCUUACUAGUUCAUUCCAGUGCUUCGACUCCCUUCCUCCAUUGUUUCCAUUGGUCGAUUAGCAGUUCAGGUCGAUCGGGAUGUCUUCUUCUUCCUCUUCUUCAUCUUCUUCAUCUGGUCGAUCGGGGUUUGAGGUUGCAGCGUCAACCUCAAGUAGUGUCGGGGAUAGCUUGUCGGCGGGUGGCGCAUCCCCCGUGAGUGAGAAGGUUGUGCGGGCCCUCAAAGUCUCAAAAUCGUUGCAUGAUUUUGAUUCUAUUGUUACUAUAGCGCUGCUCGGCCGCAUCUAGGAUCAUUAUAGUAUACCGGUCAAAUAUGAGUUACAUGCUCCUCGGCCUGGACAAUGCGCCUAUGACUUGUUCUUGGACGAGUUCGGGCUGACGCUUGAUGCAUUAGAGGUAGGGCUCAAGUUUCCUUUGCACUCGAUAAUUGAGGUAUGUCUCAAUGGCGAAUUUCACCCUCGUAGAUGAUGCCGAACUCAUGACGGUAUAUGGUGGUCUUCCUUAGGGAGUAUCACGGUGUGGGUAUAUUUAACCCUGACCCGCUCGCUCUUCCUUACUUUCAUCUUUCCAAAGGGCUGAGUGGUUACUACCUAUCGUCCCGGGGUGAUUUUAGGGUAAGCGGGGUACCUUCUAACAACAAGGGGGUGGAAGAGCCAUUACUUCUUUAUUAAUCGUAGUUAGGGAUGGGGUUUUGAACUCCAGGCUCGAUCUGGUUAACAAUACUUCCUCGGAGUUGUCUAAUGAGGAAUUCGAGCAGCUUGGGCAUUUGAAGGAGAUUCUUUCUUCUUCCCAGGCGAUUAAGAACAUGAUCGAGGAGUGCUUGGUCGAGGCGGGUCUUAGUUUGGCUCCUCGGGGUAUGGUCCGAGACCGUCCCCUUGCCUUUGCUCCAGCCAUAGCUUUAUCAUUCUCCGUGUCGCUGACCCACCCUUGAUCUCUUGGGUAGACAUGGUGAACCUCAAGGAACUGAGAGGCAUGCCUCGCAUUUCAGCGACUUCUCGCCCUACCCAAUCGUUCGCUCCUCCCUCGGGAGGGCCGAACCCGACAGCACGACGGAGAAGCCUUGAGCAAGACUGUCCAUGGAAGAAGGCUAAGGUUGGGACCCGCAAGAUGUCCGAGGCGGCUGUGGCUGGGGGGCUACCACCGUUCAGGGGGGCGAGUGCAGAGAAAGUUCUUGGGGCGCCACCCAAGGCGGAUGUGUCGGCGGGAGCACGCACGGUAAGGAGCAUGCUCCCUCGUCGGGGGUGGAGCCCGGGAGGUCGGUUCAGUCGGUGUCGAUGCCAGACCUUUGUCACAUCCAAGCGCAAACAAAGAACGAGCCUUUCAGGCUCUGUCGAUGGGCGAAUUACUUGAUGGAGAGGCAGAGGCUCCCCUCGAGCCGCGUUGGCCGGGGCUGACCAUGGGGAGCCGCGUGUGGACUGAUGGUUUCUCGUCCGCGGCGUAUGUCUGAGGUGCGCUCGUCCCGGUAGUAGCUAAGCAGGUGUAUACCUCUCCAUCGGAGGUGCUGAUUGGCAAAACCGCCAAGUCCUUGGUCUGGAGCCAACACUUCUUUCAAGUUCUAUGGGGCUGAUAGAUCGGGUUCAGGACGUGGGUUGAGUAAUUAGUAAUAUGGGGGAUAAGAUUACCGUACUUCGUGGUCAAAUCGAAGAACUAAAACGAGGUUCUACGCCGGAAGAUGUUGUAAUGGCCGAGCAGCGGGAGGCUGACUUGGAAGGGGAGGUGGCUCGGUUGAAGUCUGAGCUCGAGGAUGCUGAGCGGGAGCAAGGCAUGCUUCGAGAACAGCUCGCAGAGGCUCAAUGCCUAUCGAAGGAGUCUUGAUGGAGGGCGAGCUACUGGACCUCUUGCGGGGUUUGAGGAGGCCCGAGCGGAGAUGAAUAAGGCAGAGGAAGCCCUUGUUGAGGAGGUUCAGGCGACGCCUGAAAAGGGGAAGAAGAUUAUAUCAAAGUACAAGGAAUUAGUCGGUUUUCAACUCGAUCUGCAAAGAUCGGGCCAGGUUACUUAUGAAUACGGAUACCGAGUUGCUCUGGCUUGGUUCCGAGCUCGGUACCCCGAUCUGGCAGUCGAGGAAGAUCCUUUCACCAGCCUGCUCGAAGACGAGAAUGUUGCAAUGCCGGAUGAGGUGCCUUUUGAUGACAGCGUGGGCGAUCCCGAGGCCUAGGUCUAUCUUCACGUAUUUUUGGCGAUCGGUCGGAAGUUGUUAUGCUUUUGUUUGUCACGACUGAUCGGGCUAUGUAAAUUUUUGCUUAUCAAUACAACUCUAUUCUCUGGAACA